AUACGUAGGUGACAAGCGUUAUCCGGAUUUACUGGGCGUAAAGGGCGUGUAGGCGGUCUUGCAAGUCAGAAGUGAAAUUCCUGAGCUCAACUCGGGCGCUGCUUCUGAAACUGCAGGACUUGAGUGCUGGAGGGGAUAGCGGAAUUCCUAGUGGAGCGGUAAAAUGCGCAGAUAUUAGGAAGAACACCGGCGGCGAAGGCGGCUAUCUGGACAGUAACUGACGCUGAGGCGCGAAAGCGUGGGGAGCAAACAGGAUUAGAUACCCUGGUAGUCCACACUGUAAACGAUGAAUGCUAGGUGUAAGAGGUAUCGACCCCUUUUGUGCCGGAGUCAACACAAUAAGCAUUCCGCCUGGGGAGUACGGCCGCAAGGUUGAAACUCAAAUGAAUUGACGGGG
rnacentral:rRNA from 1 species